GUCAAGUACAAAGAGCAUCGGGUGGAUGCCUUGGCACUGGGAGCCGAAGAAGGACGUGAUAAGCUGCGAUAAGCUGCGGUAAGGAGCACAUAUCCGAUAUACCCGCAGAUUUCCGAAUGGGGGAACCCACAUACGGUAAUGCGUAUGUAUCAUUAAGUGAAUACAUAGCUUAAUGAAGGGAACGGGGUGAACUGAAACAUCUAAGUAGCCCUAGGAAGAGAAAGAAAAAUCGAUUUCCUGAGUAGCGGCGAGCGAAAGGGAAAGAGGCCAAACCAAAUUGUUUACAGUUUGGGGUUGUGGACCACCGACAUUGACGAAGUUAUGCGAGCCGAAUAGGGUUGGAAAGCUCAAGCAGAGAAGGUAAUACUCCUGUAGGCGAAGCAGAAAGCGCAUAGGUGGCACCAGAGUAGGACCGGACACGUGUAACCCGGUCUGAAGCAGGAGGGACCACCCUCCAAGCCUAAAUACUACCCAGUGACCGAUAGCGAAUAGUACCGUGAGGGAAAGGUGAAAAGAACCCCGGGAGGGGAGUGAAAUAGAAUCUGAAACCUGAUGCUUACAAGCAUAGGGAGCGCAAGUGACCUAGUACUUUUUGUAGAACGGGCCAACGAGUUAUGGUAUGUAGCGAGGUUAAGUUGCUGGAGCAACGGAGCCGUAGAGAAAUCGAGUCUGAAUAGGGCGAGAGUUACAUGCUGUAGACCCGAAACCGGGUGACCUAUCCAUGAGCAGGUUGAAGUAACCGUAAAAGGUUAUGGAGGACCGAACCUAUAUCUGUUGAAAAAGGUUAGGAUGACUUGUGGAUAGCGGUGAAAUUCCAAUCGAACUCGGAUAUAGCUGGUUCUCCUCGAAAUAGCUUUAGGGCUAGCCUCAAGGUAAAGAUACACGGGGGUAGAGCACUGACUGUUCGCGGGGCCUUCACCGGUUACCAACAACUAUCAAACUCCGAAUACCGUGCUAUCAUACUUGGGAGUCAGACUAUGAGAGAUAAGUUCCAUGGUCGAAAGGGAAACAGCCCAGAUCAACAGCUAAGGUCCCAAAGAGUAAGUUAAGUGGAAAAGGAUGUGGGAUUGCACAAACAGCUAGGAUGUUGGCUUAGAAGCAGCCAUACAUUUAAAGAGUGCGUAAUAGCUCACUAGUCGAGUGAUCCUGCGCCGAAGAUAAACGGGGCUCAAACUUACCACCGAAGCUUUGGAAUUAGUAUAACUAAUUGGUAGAGGAGCAUUCUAUACAGGUAGAAGGAGGCGCGUAAGCAAAUCUGGACGGUAUAGAAGAGAGAAUGUUGGCAUGAGUAGCGUAAGGCGGGUGAGAAUCCCGUCCGCCGAAAAUCUAAGGUUUCCUGAGGAAGGUUCGUCCUCUCAGGGUAAGUCGGGACCUAAGCCGAGAGCGAACGCUGUAGGCGAUGGACAACAGGUUGAUAUUCCUGUACCACCAAGGAUUGUUUGAAUGAAGUGGGGACACAGAAGGAUAGAUUGAGCACGCCGUUGGUUGAGCGUGUCCAAGCAGCAAGGCUUGAAAGUAGGCAAAUCCGCUUUCUAUAAGGCUGAGCUGUGAUGGGGUGGUCGAAUGACCGGUAGCAAUCGAUUUCACGCUGUCAAGAAAAGCCGCUAAUGAGAUCCAAGGUGCCCGUACCGCAAACCGACACAGGUAGAUGAGGAGAGAAUCCUAAGGUGAGCGAGCGAACUAUUGUUAAGGAACUCGGCAAAAUAACCCCGUAACUUCGGGAGAAGGGGUGCCUGCUUCGGCAGGCCGCAGUGAAGAGGUCCAGGCAACUGUUUACCAAAAACACAGGUCUCUGCUAAAGCGAAAGCUGAUGUAUAGGGGCUGACGCCUGCCCGGUGCUGGAAGGUUAAGGGGAAGUGUUAGGGCAACCGAAGCACAGAACUUAAGCCCCAGUAAACGGCGGCCGUAACUAUAACGGUCCUAAGGUAGCGAAAUUCCUUGUCGGGU
rnacentral:rRNA from 1 species